GCGCUGCCUUCAGGAGAAAGCGAGCGAGCGAGUGAGUGAGUGAGUGAGUGGGGGAGAGGCGGCGUGAGAGGAGCAGACAGUAGAGUCGCAGGGCUUACAGAGGCAGACGAGCAACAGAGGCUUUAGGGUGGCCAUACAGAUGCGCAGUGGAUACUGUGGAAACUGAUACCUGAGAAAGGCCGGGUGAGGAGGCGUGGCCCGGCGGUGUGGCCGCAAGGUUCGGGUGUCCCUUGCUGAUUUCAUGGGCUGUGUAAGGAGGGCCGGGGGGUCUCUGGACCUGAAACCCACCAAAAGGAAAGAACAAAUUCAAGAACAAGCGUUGAUUCUACAGCAGUUGCUUUCAAGCGACACAUAAAACAGAGUGCCAUUCCCUCUUAUUUGCUGUGACCGAUGACCAGAGAUGUUGUAAAACAACCUCACACAUGCACCUGAUGCACAGAAUCCACAGAAGACAAAGAGGGACAGAAUAUCAGAAAUCUAAGCAGUAAAGAACUUGUCCUGAACAAUGGUUUAAUAUUAUAUAAAGAAUAUCAAAAUGUCCAUUAAAUUGAAGCCAGUGAGUCAUGGCUGCAUGUGUCAUCUCACUCAACUGCUUUACCUGAGAAUGUUCAAGACUGAUCUUCACCCACAAGAGCCUAAAGCAGAAAGUAUGCUUCGCUUUUUACGCUUAUGCAAGGAACAGCGCACAGUAAGCGUGACACAAAUUUCAUCAUCAGCAGAGUACGAACGUACUGCAAGCACGUUGCCUGAUUUUUAUAACCGUGCGUACUUUGUAUGCGCAGGUCACACAUGCGCAUUUAAUACUUUUGCACUAUUUAGUCAUUCCACAAGGUGGCAACAGUGACCCAGUGCCGUUGAUUCUCAAGGUAGUUGAAGAAAAAACUGAAUAGACGAGUGCAGGUUGGAAAGUACCCGCAGUUGUAUAAUUCUAGCCUUAAAGAGUAUAAGGGUUUGUAUAUGGGUGUUAAUCGUGGCAAGAGAUUACCCAAGCAUUGUUCUUUGUGUUGUUGUAAUUCUUCUACGCUGUCGUCCUUCACACCAAAGAGACCUGCUAUACUUCUCUGUACCGACUCUAGGCCAGGAGGAGUAGUGCAAGCUGUCGUAAUACACGUGCGUCGCCCUCCUGUGUACGCGUGCAUAUCAAAUGGAGUAUAUUUUGAAAGGCUAUGUGUACGACUGUGCACAUACGCCAGUGUACGUGUAAAAAAAAAACUAAGCAUACCAGAGGAUUUAUGAUUUACAUAAGCAGAAAAACAAACAUUGGCAAUAAUAAAAAAAAAAUUUAAACAAAUGAUAAAUAUUGCCGUUUUCAUUUUAACUUGCUCUUUGCACCUUAACAUGAAUUAAGUUUUAUACUAAUUACCAGCUACAUUUGCUCAAGAGUACAAAAUCAAAAUGCAGACAAGCAACCAUUCACAAACAUCUAUUAGGAAACAGAGCAACCACAGUCUGCUACAGUAACGUAAGAGUUGAAUAAAUGUGCUGUUCCAUGAGUGAAUAUGCCAGCAUACUCACAUACUAAUGUACUAGAUCCUACAUUCAGUAAAAAGCAGGAGCUGGAAGAGGCCCCCAAAUCGUUACGGGUUUUGGGAGCAUUUCAGCUUCCCAGUAAAGUUACAACACUGACGGCCAGUGAGCUGUGGACCGAAACGAAAAACCCCACCCGCCCCGUUUAUUUAUCCAGGUUUCAUUUCAUUUCUUUCGAAUACACAUCAUUUGUUUCAUUACAAUCGUCCAAGUCAACCGAUUUUACUGAUACCGAUAACUACGUUGGACAGCACCUGCCGAUAACCAAUUAACCAACAAUUAGCACUACUGAAUAAAAAAGUUAAAUAUUACUGAACUGUAUUACAAAAAUAAACAGUACUGUCUGUACCAUGAAAAUGCAUUGUACAUUUUUAAAAUGAAAUAUAUUCAUAUUUAUUAAUAAUUCAUAAGUAUUACAGUAAAUAAAAGAUACAUCUCCAAACUGAACCAAAACAACACUCCAAACACCCCAAAUGAAUCAAAAAACACUUCAAACAACAAAAUGUGUCAGUGAUGGUUUUUAUUUUGGCUCUAAAGGCCGUUCUUGCAUUGUAUAAAGACAGACGGACCUUUCUCAGCCGUUUCCGCAAAGGACACACCCGGGAAAUACUACUGGCCGGUGGACUCUGGAUUCGAGACUCACCACUGUAACUGAUAAUGAGAUUAACUUGGCUGCACAGGGAGACGCUGCAGCAUGCAUGUCUCUGUAACUCUAUAAAAAAAAAUUUUUUAAAUUGUGUGUAACUAAUCAAAUCCUAAAAUUCUACCUUCUUAACUACGCCAAUGUACAUUUAAGUGUCGUGACUGAGCUGCAUUGGAUUGUACUUACAAACAGCUGGAGCUAGUUUCAUACCACAAAAAAGCAAUAAUAGUCAUUCGACCAGGUUGCUAAACGGUAUAGAACACUUGCAAAGUCUGCUUUUGCCCUUUUACUCAACAGUAACCAUAUUUUUCUGGGCUGUAAUCACAGGUAGAGAGUAACCAUUUUAUAUGGUUUGAUCAGGUAUUAGACAGCUUAUCUAACCUCUUUUUUCCUCCAGGGUAGGAAGGAGCACAAGGUGACAAAGCAGCUAUACUGAUUUAAAGGCUGGGUUCCAAACCACAUUCUAGUGUAGGAUAUACUGUGGUACCAACAAUUCGUGGUACUAUACAAUUUUGACAUACUAUAUAGUAUGCUGGUAUGCAGUUCAAUUCAAUUCAAUUCAAUUUUAUUUGUAUAGCGCUUUUUACAAUAGACAUUGUCUCAAAGCAGCUUUACAGAAAUAUCAACACGGUAUACAGAUAUUAAAGGUGUGAAUUUAUCCCAACUGAGCAAGCCACUGAGUGGCGACGGUGGCAAGG